UACGGGGGGGGCAAGCGUUGUUCGGAAUUACUGAGCGUAAAGGGUGCGUGGGCGGUUCGCUAAGUUGGAUGUGAAAACUCUGGGCUCAACCCAGAGCCUGCAUCCAAUACUGACGAGCUAGAGUUCUGGAGGGGGUAGCGGAAUUCCUGGUGUAGCGGUGAAAUGCGUAGAUAUCGAGAGGAACAUCGGUGGCGAAGGCGGCCUUCUGGACAGUGACUGACGCUGAGACGCGAAAGCGUGGGGAGCAAACAGG
rnacentral:rRNA from 1 species